rnacentral:rRNA from 1 species
CAGUAGCCACGGGAAUACGUAGGUGGCAAGCGUUGUCCGGAAUUACUGGGCGUAAAGCGUGCGUAGGCGGUUCGUUAGGUCUGUUGUGAAAGCCCCGGGCUCAACCUGGGAACGGCAAUGGAUACUGGCGAGCUAGAGUGUGUCAGAGGAUGGUGGAAUUCCCGGUGUAGCGGUGAAAUGCGUAGAGAUCGGGAGGAACAUCAGUGGCGAAGGCGGCCAUCUGGGACAACACUGACGCUGAGGCACGAAAGCGUGGGGAGCAAACAGGAUUAGAUACCCCCGUAGUCCCUGUCUCUUAUAC